CAGUAGCGCGGUAAUACGGAGGGUGCAAGCGUUAAUCGGAAUUACUGGGCGUAAAGCGCACGCAGGCGGUCUGACAAGUCAGAUGUGAAAUCCCCGGGCUUAACCUGGGAACUGCAUUUGAAACUGUCAGGCUGGAGUCUUGUAGAGGGGGGUAGAAUUCCAGGUGUAGCGGUGAAAUGCGUAGAGAUCUGGAGGAAUACCGGUGGCGAAGGCGGCCCCCUGGACAAAGACUGACGCUCAGGUGCGAAAGCGUGGGGAGCAAACAGGAUUAGAUACCCCGGUAGUCCCUGUCUCUAUACAC
rnacentral:rRNA from 1 species